rfam:Triticum urartu cultivar G1812 contig1176421, whole genome shotgun sequence.
UUGGUACUUUCUCCAUUUGAAAAUAUUUAUCAUCAAAAUAGAUAUAAAGGAAUGUAUUUAGAACUAAAAUACAUCUACAUACAUCCUCUUUUAUUUAUUUUGAUGACAAAUAUUUUCGAACGGAAAGAGUAGGAG